CAGCAGCCGCGGUAAUACGUAGGGUGCAAGCGUUAAUCGGAAUUACUGGGCGUAAAGCGUGCGCAGGCGGUUAUAUAAGACAGAUGUGAAAUCCCCGGGCUCAACCUGGGAACUGCAUUUGUGACUGUAUAGCUAGAGUACGGCAGAGGGGGAUGGAAUUCCGCGUGUAGCAGUGAAAUGCGUAGAUAUGCGGAGGAACACCGAUGGCGAAGGCAAUCCCCUGGGCCUGUACUGACGCUCAUGCACGAAAGCGUGGGGAGCAAACAGGAUUAGAUACCCGAGUAGUCCCUGUCUCUUAUAC
rnacentral:rRNA from 1 species